rnacentral:rRNA from 1 species
AUGCAAGUCGAACGAUGAAGCCCAGCUUGCUGGGUGGAUUAGUGGCGAACGGGUGAGUAACACGUGAGUAACCUGCCCUUAACUCUGGGAUAAGCCUGGGAAACUGGGUCUAAUACCGGAUAGGAGCGCCUACCGCAUGGUGGGUGUUGGAAAGAUUUAUCGGUUUUGGAUGGACUCGCGGCCUAUCAGCUUGUUGGUGAGGUAAUGGCUCACCAAGGCGACGACGGGUAGCCGGCCUGAGAGGGUGACCGGCCACACUGGGACUGAGACACGGCCCAGACUCCUACGGGAGGCAGCAGUGGGGAAUAUUGCACAAUGGGCGCAAGCCUGAUGCAGCGACGCCGCGUGAGGGAUGACGGCCUUCGGGUUGUAAACCUCUUUCAGUAGGGAAGAAGCGAAAGUGACGGUACCUGCAGAAGAAGCACCGGCUAACUACGUGCCAGCAGCCGCGGUAAUACGUAGGGUGCGAGCGUUAUCCGGAAUUAUUGGGCGUAAAGAGCUCGUAGGCGGUUUGUCGCGUCUGUCGUGAAAGUCCGGGGCUUAACCCCGGAUCUGCGGUGGGUACGGGCAGACUAGAGUGCAGUAGGGGAGACUGGAAUUCCUGGUGUAGCGGUGGAAUGCGCAGAUAUCAGGAGGAACACCGAUGGCGAAGGCAGGUCUCUGGGCUGUAACUGACGCUGAGGAGCGAAAGCAUGGGGAGCGAACAGGAUUAGAUACCCUGGUAGUCCAUGCCGUAAACGUUGGGCACUAGGUGUGGGGACCAUUCCACGGUUUCCGCGCCGCAGCUAACGCAUUAAGUGCCCCGCCUGGGGAGUACGGCCGCAAGGCUAAAACUCAAAGGAAUUGACGGGGGCCCGCACAAGCGGCGGAGCAUGCGGAUUAAUUCGAUGCAACGCGAAGAACCUUACCAAGGCUUGACAUGUUCUCGAUCGCCGUAGAGAUACGGUUUCCCCUUUGGGGCGGGUUCACAGGUGGUGCAUGGUUGUCGUCAGCUCGUGUCGUGAGAUGUUGGGUUAAGUCCCGCAACGAGCGCAACCCUCGUUCCAUGUUGCCAGCACGUAGUGGUGGGGACUCAUGGGAGACUGCCGGGGUCAACUCGGAGGAAGGUGAGGACGACGUCAAAUCAUCAUGCCCCUUAUGUCUUGGGCUUCACGCAUGCUACAAUGGCCGGUACAAUGGGUUGCGAUACUGGGAGGGGGAG